rnacentral:rRNA from 1 species
UGGGGAAUAUUGCACAAUGGGGGAAACCCUGAUGCAGCGACGCCGCGUGAAGGAUGAAGUAUUUCGGUAUGUAAACUUCUAUCAGCAGGGAAGAAAAUGACGGUACCUGACUAAGAAGCCCCGGCUAACUACGUGCCAGCAGCCGCGGUAAUACGUAGGGGGCAAGCGUUAUCCGGAUUUACUGGGUGUAAAGGGAGCGUAGACGGUUAUGUAAGUCUGAUGUGAAAACCCGGGGCUCAACCCCGGGACUGCAUUGGAAACUAUGUAACUAGAGUGUCGGAGAGGUAAGUGGAAUUCCUAGUGUAGCGGUGAAAUGCGUAGAUAUUAGGAGGAACACCAGUGGCGAAGGCGGCUUACUGGACGAUGACUGACGUUGAGGCUCGAAAGCGUGGGGAGCAAACAGG